AUGAUUUAUAGCUUAGUUUGGGGAAAUUCUCUCGUUGGUUUCUGCGUUAAAAUACUGAAUUCAGCCGUUGUGAUCGGAUUCUAUUAUGGAUUUCUGACUACAUUCUCCAUAGGACCAUCUUAUCUCUUCCUUCUUCAAGGGCAAAUCUUAGGAAAGGGAUCUGAAACGAAAAUAUCAGCAAUAACCGGUCUUAACUCUACCGUAUCUUUUCUUUAA
rnacentral:lncRNA from 1 species